UGGGGAAUUUUGCACAAUGGGGGAAACCCUGAUGCAGCGACGCCGCGUGAUUUAGAAGGCCUUCGGGUUGUAAAAAUCUUUUCUAUGGGAAGAAAAUGACAGUACCAUAGGAAUAAGGACCGGCUAAUUACGUGCCAGCAGCCGCGGUAAUACGUAAGGUCCGAGCGUUGUCCGGAAUCAUUGGGCGUAAAGGGUACGUAGGCGGAUAAGCAAGUUAGAAGUGAAAUCCUAUAGCUCAACUAUAGUAAGCUUUUAAAACUGCUCAUCUUGAGGUAUGGAAGGGAAAGUGGAAUUCCUAGUGUAGCGGUGAAAUGCGCAGAUAUUAGGAGGAAUACCGGUGGCGAAGGCGACUUUCUGGCCAUAUACUGACGCUGAGGUACGAAAGCGUGGGUAGCAAACAGG
rnacentral:rRNA from 1 species